AGUGAACGCUGGCGGUAGGCCUAACACAUGCAAGUCGAACGGCAGCACAGUAAGAGCUUGCUCUUACGGGUGGCGAGUGGCGGACGGGUGAGGAAUACAUCGGAAUCUACUUUUUCGUGGGGGAUAACGUAGGGAAACUUACGCUAAUACCGCAUACGACCUACGGGUGAAAGCAGGGGAUCUUCGGACCUUGCGCGAUUGAAUGCGCCGAUGUCGGAUUAGCUAGUUGGCGGGGUAAAGGCCCACCAGGGCGACGAUCCGUAGCUGGUCUGAGAGGAUGGUCGGCCACACUGGAACUGGGACACGGUCAAGACUCCUAAGGGAGGCAGCAGUGGGGAAUAUUGGACAAUAGGCGGAAGCAUAAUCCAGCCAGACCGAGUGGGUGAAGAAGGCCUUCGGGUUGUAAAGCCCUUUUGUUGGGAAAGAAAAGCAGCAGGUUAAUACCCCGCUGUUCUGACGGUACCCAAAGAAUAAGCACCGGCUAACUUCGUG
rnacentral:rRNA from 1 species